rnacentral:rRNA from 1 species
AUACGUAGGUGACAAGCGUUAUCCGGAUUUACUGGGCGUAAAGGGCGUGUAGGCGGUCUUGCAAGUCAGAAGUGAAAUUCCUGAGCUCAACUCGGGCGCUGCUUCUGAAACUGCAGGACUUGAGUGCUGGAGGGGAUAGCGGAAUUCCUAGUGGAGCGGUAAAAUGCGCAGAUAUUAGGAAGAACACCGGUGGCGAAGGCGGCUAUCUGGACAGUAACUGACGCUGAGGCGCGAAAGCGUGGGGAGCAAACAGGAUUAGAUACCCUGGUAGUCCACGCCGUAAACGAUGGAUACUAGGUGUAGGGGGUAUCGACUCCCUCUGUGCCGCAGUUAACACAAUAAGUAUUCCGCCUGGGGAGUACGGCCGCAAGGUUGAAACUCAAAUGAAUUGACGGGG